GGUUCGGCGUUGUAGUUGGUUAUCAAGUCAGUCUAACACACUGAAGGUUCCCGGUUCAAGCCCGGGCCGAAUCA